GGGAGUGGCAAAUCAAAGGCAUUGCAGCCUCUUUCAUCACUGCCGAUUGCUGAUGCCGACCCUGUGCCAAGUGCUUAAUACAUCACCUUAAAUCUUCUCAUCCACCCUCAAAGUCGUUAUAACAACCCUAUGACUGACUAUUAUUAUUCCCACUUGGAAGAUGAAGACACUGAGGUUCCAGGAAAUGAAAAACUCAGUGCAAAAUCAUAAGACCAGAAGUGUUCAAGAACAAGAUUCAAACCAGCAGUCGCAUCAACCCAGUGUCCUGACUUUCAAGACAACCAUGAAAACGCCCCAACUGCUGCUAAAUUACCAGCAACAAGGAUCUGG